AUAUAUACAGUGAAACUGCGAAUGGCUCAUUAAAUCAGUUAUCGUUUAUUUGAUGAUACUUUACUACUUGGAUAACCGUGGUAAUUCUAGAGCUAAUACAUGCAUAAAAGUCCCGACCCCUGGAAGGGAUGUAUUUAUUAGAUAAAAAACCAAUGCCUUCGGGCUCUUUGGUGAUUCAUAGUAACUUAACGAAUCGCAUGGCCUUGUGCUGGCGAUGGUUCAUUCAAAUUUCUGCCCUAUCAACUUUCGAUGGUAGGAUAUAGGCCUACCAUGGUUUCAACGGGUAACGGGGAAUUAGGGUUCGAUUCCGGAGAGGGAGCCUGAGAAACGGCUACCACAUCCAAGGAAGGCAGCAGGCGCGCAAAUUACCCAAUCCCGACACGGGGAGGUAGUGACAAUAAAUACUGAUACAGGUGGUUUUAUGCCUCUUGUAAUUGGAAUGAGUACAAUUUAAAUCUCUUAACGAGGAACAAUUGGAGGGCAAGUCUGGUGCCAGCAGCCGCGGUAAUUCCAGCUCCAAUAGCGUAUAUUAAAGUUGUUGCAGUUAAAAAGCUCGUAGUUGAACCUUGGACCUGGCCGACUGGUCUGCCUCACCGCAUGCACUGGUUUGGUCGGGUCUUUCCUUCUGGCAAACUGCAUGCCCUUCACUGGGUGUGUUGGGGAACCAGGACUUUUACUUUGAAAAAAUUAGAGUGUUCAAAGCAGGCAUUGGCUCGAAUACAUUAGCAUGGAAUAAUAGAAUAGGACGUGUGGUUCUAUUUUGUUGGUUUCUAGGACCACCGUAAUGAUUAAUAGGGAUAGUCGGGGGCAUCAGUAUUCAAUCGUCAGAGGUGAAAUUCUUGGAUCGAUUGAAGACUAACUACUGCGAAAGCAUUUGCCAAGGAUGUUUUCAUUAAUCAGGGAACGAAAGUUAGGGGAUCGAAGACGAUCAGAUACCGUCGUAGUCUUAACCAUAAACUAUGCCGACUAGGGAUUGGGCGAUGUUCUUUUUUGACUCGCUCAGCACCUUACGAGAAAUCAAAGUCUUUGG
rnacentral:rRNA from 2 species